rnacentral:rRNA from 1 species
CCUACGGUGUGCAGCAGUGAGGAAUAUUGGUCAAUGGCCGCAGGGCUGAACCAGCCAAGUCGCGUGAGGGAUGACGGUCCUAUGGAUUGUAAACCUCUUUUGUCAGGGAGCAAAGGGCGCCACGUGUGGCGUUUUGCGAGUACCUGAAGAAAAAGCAUCGGCUAACUCCGUGCCAGCAGCCGCGGUAAUACGGAGGAUGCGAGCGUUAUCCGGAUUUAUUGGGUUUAAAGGGUGCGCAGGCGGAUUGUCAAGUCAGCGGUAAAAUUUCGGGGCUCAACCCCGUCGGGCCGUUGAAACUGGCGUGUGUGAGGGAGCGAGAGGAAAGGGGAAUGCGUGGGGUAGCGGUGAAAGGCAUAGAU